GACGAACGCUGGCGGCGUGCCUAAUACAUGCAAGUCGAACGCACAGUUUAUACCGUAGCUUGCUACACCAUAGACUGUGAGUUACGAACGGGUGAGUAACGCGUAGGUAACCUGCCUGGUAGCGGGGGAUAACUAUUGGAAACGAUAGCUAAUACCGCAUAAUAUUAAUUAUUGCAUGAUAAUUAAUUGAAAGGUGCAAUUGCACCACUACCAGAUGGACCUGCGUUGUAUUAGCUAGUAGGUGAGGUAACGGCUCACCUAGGCGACGAUACAUAGCCGACCUGAGAGGGUGAUCGGCCACACUGGGACUGAGACACGGCCCAGACUCCUACGGGAGGCAGCAGUAGGGAAUCUUCGGCAAUGGACGAAAGUCUGACCGAGCAACGCCGCGUGAGUGAAGAAGGGUUUCGGAUCGUAAAGCUCUGUUGUAAGAGAAGAACGGGUGUGAGAGUGGAAAGUUCACACUGUGACGGUAUCUUACCAGAAAGGGACGGCUAACUACGUG
rnacentral:rRNA from 1 species